AAGUCGUAACAAGGUUUCCGUAGGUGAACCUGCGGAAGGAUCAUUAACACGUAUCCAAACGUUAAAACAACCCUGUGAAUAUUAACGCGUGUUCUGGCUUGACACCAAAACAGCAAUCUCUCGUAAAACAGGCGCUAAAGAAUUACUGAAAGUGUCAAGUGAUGGUCAGGGUAACGCAGUCAACGAUCGCUGUAGGUCCUCACGACCGGCGACCUGGAGGCUAACGCCCUUACGUCACCCCUAUGUACCCUCCGGGACUUGGCGAAAGCUGACUCCGUCAUAAAUCGAACAACUGUUAACAAUGGAGAUCUUGGUUCUC
rnacentral:misc_RNA from 1 species